CGUAGGUGGCAAGCGUUGUCCGGAAUUAUUGGGCGUAAAGCGCGCGCAGGCGGUCCUUUAAGUCUGAUGUGAAAGCCCACGGCUCAACCGUGGAGGGUCAUUGGAAACUGGGGGACUUGAGUGCAGGAGAGAAGAGUGGAAUUCCACGUGUAGCGGUGAAAUGCGUAGAGAUGUGGAGGAACACCAGUGGCGAAGGCGACUCUUUGGCCUGUAACUGACGCUGAGGCGCGAAAGCGUGGGGAGCAAACAGGAUUAGAUACCCUGGUAGUCCACGCCGUAAACGAUGAGUGAUAAGUGUUAGAGGGUUUCCGCCCUUUAGUGCUGCAGUAAACGCAUUAAGCACUCCGCCUGGGGAGUACGGCCGCAAGGCUG
rnacentral:rRNA from 1 species